rnacentral:lncRNA from 1 species
GGGGGGAUCUCCCGGAGGAGAUCCAGCCGCGACCCAACUUCCCGGCACUCCUCUUCUCCGGCAUCGCUUCGGAGAAGAGGAAGGGGGGCCGGCCUUUCUUCCGCCGGUGCUCCGGGGGGAAGCUCCGCCUCGGUCGGUGGAUCGGAGGGGAGCCUCGUCUCCCCGGUCGCCUGCGAGAGAAGAAAGGGAGGAGACGGAGGGUUCGGUGGGGAUGAAAGGCCGAAAGGGCUAGGGCUUCCGGUCGGAAACGAGGAGGAAGGGAGAAAGAGGGAGAGAGAGAGAGGAAAAGAGAGGGAGUGACCGAGAGGGGGAAGGCCACAGAUCUGGCCGGAGGAGAAGAAGGGG